ACAGGAAUUUAGCGGAGCCACAAGAAGGCUGAGAGAACAAAAAGCCCAGGAUUUGAGCAAGGGCCCUUGCUUCUGUGAGCUCUCCACCAGGCUUGGAAAUGUACCAGCUGUGAUGAAGAACCCAUGGAAGAGAGAGCAGGAGCUGGACAGGAGGCUCCCUGCCUCGGUGUGGGGCCAGGCACCACGGAUGAGUGAUGAAAUGAGGCAGGACUGACAAGGAGGCAGAGGUGAGGAGGUGGGAGGAUGCUUUUAGAUUUGGAUAGGAAGAUCUGAGGUUCAGUGGUGGAGGAGAAGCCAAGAGAAGGGUAGGUGUCAGGGAUCACAGCUAGUCAGCAACUCCCUUUAGCCCAAGGUCAUCCAUAGUUCCAGCUCGUGGGCUUGGCGUGGAGGCAAACAUCUGAAAUUGUGAAAUCCCUCCUGUGCUGCCACCCGCGUGGACAGACUGAUGAGCCUUGGGGAGGCAAUCUGUCCUGCACAGCCAAACACGAGAAUAAAUCAGGCUGCAGCGUGGGCCAGGAGGUGCCUGGCCAUGCUUGGAAAGAGAUCUUCAAAAGCUGCCCAGCCAUGGUCCUGGGCUACCUGCUCCAGGUGACCCUGCUUAAGGAGGGCUCUUGGACAAGAUGACCUUCAGAGGUCCCUUUGAGGCCAACCACAAACAUUUGGUGAUUCUGUAAAACCUGGAAGGGGUCAGCCCCCACCACUUCAAAGAUGGGACAGCUCUUCCACCGACAGGCAUUUGGUGCCUCCACUGGUUUAGUUUCAGUUUAUAUCUAAUAAAGCCUCUCGCCAAAGUUUUAACUGCAUCUGGAGAAUCCAACCCCAGGCACCAGAGAGAGCCGAAGGGCAAUUUCUGCCUAUGGCAACGAGGGAGGAGCAGCCUUUGCAAGAAGAAGAUGUGCAAGAACAGUCAUAGAGACAAGCAAUUUGGCAUCAAUCUCUCCUCGGUUCGCAUUAUUGGGGUAUCGAUAGCAAGGUUAAUAGCCCUAUGGUUCCGGAUUCGAUGUGCAAGACUGUUUAUAGCGUCUGCUGAGAGGCGGUUACUUUUACUCUCGUUGGCAAAUCAUUGUUUACGUCUCGUGUUUCGAAAUGCAGCUGGGUUCCAGCCUUUCCUCACCAACUGGCGGAGCCGAGCGAAUCCAUGCCCAUGUGCUGCUCUUUAGCAACACAAACAGCACAGCCAGAUUCCACUUAGCGGGCUUUGCUAACCCUCCAAACACGCAAGGCUUGGCCACGAGCACGCCAGCUUGUUUCCGAUGGCUCCUCGAGCCGAGAGCACAGCCACAGGAGUUAAGAGUGGUUGAGUGCUCGUGAAGUAUCCCAAAAUCAGAACGGGCUUGAUUCUUGCAUCAAAGUUGGGGUGUAAUUUAUCUUCCUGGCACCACCAACUUCCCUUCCACUUGUGAUUCUGAAGACAUCUGUUGACUCUUGUGAAGCUCGUUUCAUUCUGGCCUUCUCUCCACCUUUUCUGGGACUAUCAGCAACUCCGAGUUGCUCUUGUCCAACCUGAAGACUGGUACGUUGCAAAAAAGACCCGGAGAGCCCAAAUGGGACAUCAAGUUAUGAAGGUGGAGAUGAAAAGCUAUAGCCCCAAGAAGAUCUACACAGAUAAUUAUGGUCAGCUCAGAGGGAUCACAUUCAUCAAUUUUGAGCUGCACUAAACCACAGAAUAACCACAGAAUCAGAGGAUAUCCCAAUCUGGAAGGAACCCACAAGGAUCAUGGAUUCCAACUCCUGGCUCCACAUGGGACCACCCAAAAAUCAAACCAUAAGUCCAAGAGCACCGUCCAAGCACUCUUUGAACUCCAGCAGGCUUGGUGUUUAGGCCUGGGGAGCCUAAAAAGCUUGAGUGGUGCACCACAGCUUGAGAGGUGCCCUAAAGCCACCCUUGCUUAUUCCAGCUUGCGUGCAUUCUCAUUCCCCUUGAAGUUCAGCCCACAGUGAUGGGAAGAAGGGACAAAACACAUCAUCCAGAGCUUUGGGAAGAAGGGACAAAAUACCAGUAGCUGUUAUUGCUGGACUUCACACACUCAAGUCCUGCACUGCCUAGAUAAGCCCUAGGUGCCUUUUUUACAUUGGCAGAUCUUCUAUGCAGAACUCCAACAGUGACAUCUUAGUAUGUGCACUGGGACUUAUGGUCCAACCGAUGCCACAGACGUUAUCUUUAAUCUUUUAUUUGGUUAAACUCCAAGGCUUAGACACACCUUAGAGGUGAAGACCAAGCUGAGAGCAAUGCCCUAUUUAUUGGUGUGAGCAGCAAAUGGGGUGGGGGUGUGUAGAAUCAAGAGGAAUUGUAGCAGAGGUGUUACAAUGAUAGGUAAAUGCUAUAUUUUAGCCUAAUAGACAAAGAGAGAUCUGACAAACAUGGGGCAACGUUUGAAUUUAAACAGAAAUAAAGGUUAAAAAAAAAGAAAUUUAGAAGAAGCAAGGGCAGAGCACUGAGCCAGCACAAAUCUUGAUUUGUUUUAUACAGGUGGGAAAUUUGAGGUCUGGUGGCAACACUUAGAUCCAACUCCCAAGAAAGUGCAUUUUGAGAGCUGGAGCUGCCUAGGGAAGAGUUUCUCCCUGUGGGGAGGCGAGAGGGCUCAGAGGAGAGGGAAGGGCCUGGGAGAAGCCUCUUCUUGUUUUUCAGUCUGGUCCCAGGUUCGGGCUGCUGAUGGAGCGGCGAGGGGUGGCUGACUCAUCAGGCUUUGUGCUGUUUCGCAGAAGCCGUGCAAAGCUCCUGACACCCUCUGAUUUUGUGUUACAUAAAGUAGAUACACCCUAGCGCCAGAUGUGCUAUAUCACAUUCCUCUUUAACAGAAUCCUUCGGCUCUCCAAACCAUGUCAUGUUUAUGUAGACUCCCAAGCACCAAUUAUGCAAUCUUUUCCCAUUCUCUCUCGCCAACAAACAUCCAAUUAAAAUGAGCAGUUGCCAUGGUUUCCUCCUCACCAACCUAGGUAGUGAUGAGAUGAGAAGUUUGGAUUUGUGGAAAAAAAAAAAAAAAAGUAUUUUCUUGUUAGGAAAUGUACUCAUUAGGCUGAUGGUCUUAAAAUGUUCUGUUCAGCCCAUUUGG